GAAAUUUUGAUCUGGUUUUAGAUCCUGGAUUCCUUCCCUUGAGAUUUCCGUGGAAGGAACUCAGGAUCUGGAAGUAGAUGAAAAUUUC